ensembl:misc_RNA
GAGAGACUGCGGAUUUACCUCGCUGGCACAGUCAUGCUGGGCCAGGAGCAGCCGCUGUUACAGAAUCUAGACAUACACUUUCCCCCGAACUUCUCCUUCUUCUUGGAGUCAUUCAGAAGAGAAGUUGGGGCUCUGAGGGGCAG